rnacentral:rRNA from 1 species
UACGGGGGGGGGCAAGCGUUGUUCGGAAUUACUGGGCGUAAAGGGCUCGUAGGUGGCCAACUAAGUACCUUGUGAAAUCCCAUGGCUCAACCAUGGAACUGCUUGGUAUACUGGUUGUCUUGAGCCACUUAGGGGCAGUCGGAACAGAUGGUGGAGCGGUGAAAUGCGUAGAUAUCUGGAGGAACACCGGUGGCGAAGGCGGCAUCCUGGACCGAUACUGACGCUGAGGAGCGAAAGCCAGGGGAGCAAACGGG